rnacentral:lncRNA from 1 species
UGGGCAUACUGAACAACUCUUCGUAUACCAAUGGAGGAAUCAUCAUUCAAUCUAGCCUAUAGAAUAGAAGCGAUGAUCCCACUUGAGAUCAGAUUACCUUCAACAAGGGUUGAGCAAUGCAGUGAGCUGAGCAAUUUUGAAUGUUGGAGAGCCGAUCUAGAUCUACUUUCAGAAGUCCGAUAGCAAUCUUAAUUUCAGAUGGCAGCCUAU